rnacentral:rRNA from 1 species
AUUGAACGCUGGCGGCAUGCCUUACACAUGCAAGUCGAACGGCAGCGCGGGAGCAAUCCUGGCGGCGAGUGGCGAACGGGUGAGUAAUACAUCGGAACGUGCCCAAUCGUGGGGGAUAACGCAGCGAAAGCUGUGCUAAUACCGCAUACGAUCUACGGAUGAAAGCAGGGGAUCGCAAGACCUUGCGCGAAUGGAGCGGCCGAUGGCAGAUUAGGUAGUUGGUGAGGUAAAGGCUCACCAAGCCUUCGAUCUGUAGCUGGUCUGAGAGGACGACCAGCCACACUGGGACUGAGACACGGCCCAGACUCCUACGGGAGGCAGCAGUGGGGAAUUUUGGACAAUGGGCGAAAGCCUGAUCCAGCCAUGCCGCGCGCAGGAUGAAGGCCUUCGGGUUGUAAACUGCUUUUGUACGGAACGAAACGGUCUUUUCUAAUAAAGAAGGCUAAUGACGGUACCGUAAGAAUAAGCACCGGCUAACUACGUG